rnacentral:rRNA from 1 species
GUGUUAGGUGACUGCGGAGGAUCAUUACAGUAUUUUGCCUGCGCUUAACUGCGCGGUGAACAUUACACACUGUGUUUUCUUUUUUGAACUCAUUGCUUUGGUCUGUCAUCAGAAAUGAUGUUGGGCCAGAGGUUUAACUAACUUCAAUUUUUAUUGAAUGGUUUAUUAAUUUUAAUUGUCAAUAUGAAAUUUAAUUUCAAAACUUUCAACAACGGAUCUCUUGGUUCUCGCAUCGAUGAAGAACGCAGCGAAUUGCGAUAAGUAAUAUGAAUUGCAGAUUUUCGUGAAUCAUCGAAUCUUUGAACGCACAUUGCGCCCCUUGGUAUUCCAAGGGGCAUGCCUGUUUGAGCGUCAUUUCUCUCUCAAAACCUUCGGGUUUGGUUUUGAGUGAUACUCUUAGUCAGACUAGGUGUUUGCUUGAAAAGUAUUGGCAGGAGCGGUGCAAUACAGCGCACUCGACAAUCAAUGUAUUAGGUUUAUCCAUCAUUGAAGUCUUGGAAACUGUUUGUUCAGGCCCAGCCUUACAAAAACAAACCAUGUUUGACCUCAAAUCAGGUAGGACUACCCGCUGAACUUAAGCAUAUCAUAAG